rnacentral:lncRNA from 1 species
GACAAGGUGGGGAGCCCUUCUCUUCUCCUCUUUUGAUUUCUUUCCCUUUUUGCUUGAUUUUUAGUGGAAUAAUCCAUUCUUUUGCUCUCUUUUUGCUUUUGGGUGACUUUUCCUCCAUGGGAGAAGUCUUGAAGCUAGGAGCAAGGUUUGUUUGAGGGAAGGAUCUCAACCCUAGCUGGUUUCUAGGGUGGUUUGAAGCUUCUAAAGAGGUUAGUAGCUUGUUUACCCUAUUUGAUCCAUGAUUUUGUUGAUUUUUGCAUAGAAACCCUAGAAAUGAGGAAUUAGGGUUUGAUUUGGGAAUUUUUGAUCUAGGGCUUUUGGAGCUCAAUUGAUUGGAUUAGAACCUUCCUCUAGGUUGCUUUGGAGGGGUUCUAGCUCCCCUUUGGAGCUUGUGAGGGAUUUUCACCAUAUAAGGUGAGAUUUUGGCCUUUUCUUAAAUUAGUUAAUGUUUAACCUACUCGUUGUUCGUAACGUUCAUGUAACACUCCUAGUUUAACCCUUAGGAAGCUAGGAGGCGUGUGGGCAUCUUCGUCGGCGCAAACGAAGGGUUGCGAGGAGAUUUGGUGGGUUUGGCCUCACCAAAACGGGAUAAAUCAUCCCUAUAAUGGUUUUUACUUAUCGUAAAAUAAAGAUACAUGCAUAUUCAUGCAAGAUAGAUUAUUUGUGAAUUUUAGAAUGCUUAAAGUGCACAUGUUAUGUAUAAUGGAUUUU